rnacentral:rRNA from 1 species
UGGGGAAUAUUGGACAAUGGGCGAAAGCCUGAUCCAGCCAUGCCGCGUGUGUGAAGAAGGUCUUCGGAUUGUAAAGCACUUUAAGUUGGGAGGAAGGGCAUUAACCUAAUACGUUAGUGUUUUGACGUUACCGACAGAAUAAGCACCGGCUAACUCUGUGCCAGCAGCCGCGGUAAUACAGAGGGUGCAAGCGUUAAUCGGAAUUACUGGGCGUAAAGCGCGCGUGGGUGGGUGGUUAAGUUGGAUGUGAAUCCCCGGGCUCAACCUGGGAACUGCAUUCAAAACUGACUGACUAGAGUAUGGUAGAGGGUGGUGGAAUUUCCUGUGUAGCGGUGAAAUGCGUAGAUAUAGGAAGGAACACCAGUGGCGAAGGCGACCACCUGGACUAAUACUGACACUGAGGUGCGAAAGCGUGGGGAGCAAACA